UACGUAGGGUGCAAGCGUUGUCCGGAAUUAUUGGGCGUAAAGAGCUCGUAGGCGGUUUGUCGCGUCUGCUGUGAAAACGCGAGGCUCAACCUCGCGCCUGCAGUGGGUACGGGCAGACUAGAGUGCGGUAGGGGAGAUUGGAAUUCCUGGUGUAGCGGUGAAAUGCGCAGAUAUCAGGAGGAACACCGGUGGCGAAGGCGGGUCUCUGGGCAGCAACUGACGCUGAGGAGCGAAAGCGUGGGGAGCAAACAGG
rnacentral:rRNA from 1 species